AAAAAAGUCAUAAAAUUUACAAUGUUGCUUUCAACAAAAACACAUUCGGGCGAUUCUUCUGAUGCCUUAUUUUUAUGAGGCAAGACAUCAAUUUUCGCACAGCACACAGUCACAGUCUAGCCUGCCUAUAGCAACUACAACUCACACACACACACACACACACACAGAACUACGCCGUCCCAUUUAUAUUUCUCAAUUUUCCAUUCUUUGGUAGCAGGAGGAAAAGAUUCUCCAGCGAUAAAUUCUCGCACUCAACAAAAUACAUAAACGAUUUAUAGUUGCAAAAAGCGGGCCAAACAAUAACUAACAAAGCGCAGCGGCAGCAGCAACAACAACAAUGGAUGCGAAGACCCAAAAGCAACUCGAAUUGGAAAAGAAGAAAGGAUUUCGAUGCUAAAUCCCUCAACGCAGCAUAAAUCUUUAAUGGAAAACCUUUCGCACUUUUAGUUGCUUGAGGAGUUCUCAUGUGGAAAAAUCAAAUAUCAUGGCAUUUUCGCAGCGACUACUAAGCCAUUAUAAAUCUGCAAAUCAAUAAUUUCUGUAUUUAUACAAAGUCAUCAAAAUAAAAAGCAAUAACUUAUA